rnacentral:rRNA from 1 species
GAUGAACGCUGGCGGCGUGCUUAACACAUGCAAGUCGAGCGAGUGAGUUCUUCGGAACGAUCUAGCGGCGGACGGGUGAGUAACACGUGGGCAACCUGCCUCAUAGAGGGGAAUAGCCUUCCGAAAGGAAGAUUAAUACCGCAUAACAUCGUUGAAGGGCAUCCUUCGAUGAUCAAAGGAGCAAUCCGCUAUGAGAUGGGCCCGCGGCGCAUUAGCUAGUUGGUGAGGUAACGGCUCACCAAGGCGACGAUGCGUAGCCGACCUGAGAGGGUGAUCGCCCACAUUGGGACUGAGACACGGCCCAGACUCCUACGGGAGGCAGCAGUGGGGAAUAUUGCACAAUGGGGGAAACCCUGAUGCAGCAACGCCGCGUGAGUGAUGACGGCCUUCGGGUUGUAAAGCUCUGUCUUUGGGGACGAUAAUGACGGUACCCAAGGAGGAAGUCACGGCUAACUACGUGCCAGCCGCCGCGGUAAAAC